rnacentral:tRNA from 1 species
GGAGAGGUGUCCGAGUGGUCGAAGGUGCCAGACUCGAAAUCUGGUGUGGGGCAACCCACCGUGGGUUCGAAUCCCACCCUCUCCGCCA